AGUCAAGUAAUUAAGUGCAUGUGGUGGAUGCCUUGGCAGUCAGAGGCGAUGAAAGACGUGAUAGCCUGCGAAAAGCUCCGGGGAGGCGGCAAAUAUCCUUUGAUCCGGAGAUUUCUGAAUGGGGGAACCCACCCGCUAUAAGGCGGGUAUCAUAAACUGAAUACAUAGGUUUAUGAAGCGAACGAGGGGAAGUGAAACAUCUCAGUACCCUUAGGAAAAGAAAUCAAUUGAGAUUCCCUUAGUAGCGGCGAGCGAACGGGGAGCAGCCCAUUAAGUUAUGUGUGUUUUAGUGGAACGCUCUGGGAAGUGCGAACGUAGAGGGUGAUAUUCCCGUACACGAAAGGGCACACAUAAUGAUGACGAGUAGGGCGAGGCACGUGAAACCUUGUCUGAAUAUGGGGGGACCAUCCUCCAAGGCUAAAUACUCCUGACUGACCGAUAGUGAACCAGUACCGUGAGGGAAAGGCGAAAAGAACCCCUGUGAGGGGAGUGAAAUAGAUCCUGAAACCGCAUGCAUACAAGCAGUGGGAGCCGACUUGUUCGGUGACUGCGUACCUUUUGUAUAAUGGGUCAGCGACUUAUAUUCAGUAGCGAGGUUAACCGAAUAGGGGAGCCGUAGAGAAAUCGAGUCUUAAUAGGGCGUUUAGUUGCUGGGUAUAGACCCGAAACCAGGCGAUCUAUCCAUGAGCAGGUUGAAGGUUGGGUAACACUAACUGGAGGACCGAACCCACUGUCGUUGAAAAGCCAGGGGAUGACUUGUGGAUAGGGGUGAAAGGCUAAUCAAGCCUGGUGAUAGCUGGUUCUCCCCGAAAGCUAUUUAGGUAGCGCCUCGGACGAAUACCAUUGGGGGUAGAGCACUGUUUCGGCUAGGGGGUCAUCCCGACUUACCAAACCGAUGCAAACUCCGAAUACCAAUGAGUACUAUCCGGGAGACAGACUGCGGGUGCUAACGUCCGUAGUCAAGAGGAAAACAAUCCAGACCGCCAGCUAAGGCCCCAAAAUCAUAGUUAAGUGGGAAACGAUGUGGGAAGGCAUAGACAGCUAGGAGGUUGGCUUAGAAGCAGCCACCCUUUAAAGAAAGCGUAAUAGCUCACUAGUCGAGUCGGCCUGCGCGGAAGAUGUAACGGGGCUAAAACUAUGUGCCGAAGCUGCGGAUUUGACAUUAGUCAAGUGGUAGGGGAGCGUUCUGUAAGCCGAUGAAGGUGUAUUGAGAAGUAUGCUGGAGGUAUCAGAAGUGCGAAUGCUGACGUGAGUAACGACAAAACGGGUGAAAAACCCGUUCGCUGAAAGACCAAGGGUUCCAGUCCAACGUUAAUCGGGGCUGGGUGAGUCGACCCCUAAGGCGAGGCCGAGAGGCGUAGUCGAUGGGGAAUGGGUUAAUAUUCCAAUACUUCUCUGUAAUGCGAUGAGAGGACGGAGAACGUUAAGUCA
rnacentral:rRNA from 1 species